UACGGAGGGGGCUAGCGUUAUUCGGAAUUAUUGGGCGUAAAGGGCGCGUAGGCGGCCCGGUAAGUCAAAGGUGAAAUCCCUCGGCUCAACUGAGGAACUGCCUUUGAAACUGUCGGGCUUGAGGCCGGGAGGGGGUAGCGGAAUUCCCAGUGUAGCGGUGAAAUGCGUAGAUAUUGGGAGGAACACCGGUGGCGAAGGCGGCUACCUGGACCGGUUCGUGACGCUGAUGCGCGAAAGCGUGGG
rnacentral:rRNA from 1 species